UAGAGUGGCGCACGGGUGAGUAACACGUAGGUUAUCUACCUCUGAGUGGGGAAUAACAGUCGGAAACGACUGCUAAUACCGCAUAAUACCUGCAAGGGUCAAAGCUUUAGUGCUUGGAGAGGAGCCUGCGGCAGAUUAGCUAGUUGGUAAGGUAAUGGCUUACCAAGGCGACGAUCUGUAUCCGGUCUAAGAGGACGGUCGGACACACUGACACUGAAUAACGGGUCAG
rnacentral:rRNA from 1 species